rnacentral:rRNA from 1 species
CAGUCGCCGCGGGAAUACGAAGGGUGCUAGCGUUGUUCGGAAUUACUGGGCGUAAAGCGCACGUAGGCGGAUAUUUAAGUCAGGGGUGAAAUCCUAGAGCUCAACUCUGGAACUGCCUUUGAUACUGGGUAUCUUGAGUAUGGAAGAGGUAAGUGGAAUUGCGAGUGUAGAGGUGAAAUUCGUAGAUAUUCGCAGGAACACCAGUGGCGAAGGCGGCUUACUGGUCCAUUACUGACGCUGAGGUGCGAAAGCGUGGGGAGCAAACAGGAUUAGAUACCCCGGUAGUCCCUGUCUCUUAUAC